GGAGAUUUGGCCGAGCGGUUAAGGCGCCACUUUCGAAAGGUGGUUCAUUCGUGAGCGUAGGUUCGAGUCCUGCAGUCUUCG
rfam:Protomyces lactucaedebilis strain 12-1054 BCR37scaffold_23, whole genome shotgun sequence.